GUGUUACCCUUCUGCGUUUCUCUUACAGUUCCUUCCUCACUCGAGUGACUCUGUAAUCUUCCUUCCCGACUUACCGUUUUUAACUCUACGCUAGCUCUUUCGAAAAGGAAAGCGAAAACAUGGCGAAUGAUCAGGCCAACGAAGAUCCACUGAAGAAGGUGUUUGUUGGUGGUUUAAAUAGAUCCACAUCAGACGAAACUUUAAAGACGUACUUUGAGUCUUAUGGAGAAAUGACAGACUGUGUAGUAAUACGCGAUGGAACCAAGGCUUCUAGAGGAUUCGGCUACGUGACUUUCGCUGAGAGAGAAAGCGUCUUAAAGGUUUUGGAAGAAAAACCUCAUACGAUUGAUGGCAAAACCGUGGAAGUAAAACGAGCUAUUCCGAGAAAUGAGGACAGCGCAUCAGCUCAUCAUAGAACAAAGAAACUCUUCAUUGGUGGAUUGAAAGACGAGACGACCAUGGAAGACAUCAAGCAAGCCGUCGCCGAGUCAGCACGCGGAAUUGCGCCAACUCUUGUGGACCUGAUCAUGAAAAAAGAAGAGCCAACAAAGCAUCGUGGUUUCUGCUUCGUUGAAUUUGACGACGAGGAUAUUGUGGAUGAACUUUGUUGCCUCAAAAGGAUCACUAUCUCUGGCAAACAAGUUGAAAUCAAGAAAGCUCAACCUAAAGAUGGUCAGGGGGCACGUUCUGGGGGUCGUGGUGGACGCGGAGGUGGUCGUGGAUUCAGCCAUCGCGAUCGCAGUGGUGGAGGAGGUGGACACCACGCAUAUAAUAUGUAUGGCGGUGCUGGAUACCAACAAUACUCCGAUCCGAGUUAUUACAGCUAUGAAGGUUAUGGCUACGACAAUGGCUACGGUAAUAUGGGUAACUACCAGCAAGCUCCUUCAAACUUUGGCUCACAGCAGGGUGGAUAUGGAAGAGGUGGCGGUCCAAGACAACGGUACACACCAUACUAGACAAGAUUGGCAAAGUUUUUUUUGCAUUGUGUGUCCUGCGGUGCUGUAGUCAGGAGUGCAUGAUUGUUCAAUCAUCAGCAUUGUACUGAUGCAGCAACAAGGGGGGGAGAGAUUAUCAAGCUCAAAAUAUGUAUGCCACAUAUGAAACCCUAUUGGAGUGCGGACCUACCUAGUGUGAGAAUACAACCCAGAAGUUCACAAGCUAUACUGAUGAAAACAGUGAAAUGGAGUGGCCUGGGGCCUGGGACCUGGCAUAAUAUCCAUCUCUGUCAAAGCAUUUUUUAAAUGAAUAUCAGUUAAACUUCCCUUUAAAGUCUUGGGAAAGAACAUAUUGAAAAAAUUAAAUUAAUAAAAAAGUGCACGAAGUG
rnacentral:misc_RNA from 1 species